AGAGUUUGAUCAUGGCUCAGAACGAACGCUGGCGGCAUGCCUAACACAUGCAAGUCGAACGAAGGCUUCGGCCUUAGUGGCGCACGGGUGAGUAACACGUGGGAACCUGCCUUUCGGUUCGGAAUAACGUCUGGAAACGGACGCUAACACCGGAUACGUCCUUCGGGAGAAAGUUUACGCCGAGAGAGGGGCCCGCGUCGGAUUAGGUAGUUGGUGUGGUAACGGCGCACCAAGCCGACGAUCCGUAGCUGGUCUGAGAGGAUGAUCAGCCACACUGGGACUGAGACACGGCCCAGACUCCUACGGGAGGCAGCAGUGGGGAAUAUUGGACAAUGGGCGCAAGCCUGAUCCAGCAAUGGCCGCGUGAGUGAUGAAGGCCUUAGGGUUGUAAAGCUCUUUCGCACGCGACGAUGAUGACGGUAGCGUGAGAAGAAGCCCCGGCUAACUUCGUGCCAGCAGCCGCGGUAAUACGAAGGGGGCUAGCGUUGUUCGGAAUUACUGGGCGUAAAGGGCGCGUAGGCGGCCUGUUUAGUCAGAAGUGAAAGCCCCGGGCUCAACCUGGGAAUAGCUUUUGAUACUGGCAGGCUUGAGUUCCGGAGAGGAUGGUGGAAUUCCCAGUGUAGAGGUGAAAUUCGUAGAUAUUGGGAAGAACACCGGU
rnacentral:rRNA from 1 species